UGGCUCAGUGGUAGAGUGCUUGCCUUGCAUGCCAGAGGCCCUGAGUUCGAUUCCUCAG
rnacentral:tRNA from 1 species